rnacentral:tRNA from 1 species
AGGCUUGUGGCGUAAUGGUAUCGCAACGGACUGUUAAUCCGGAGAUUGGAGGUUCGACCCCUCCCGAGCCUG